UUAAGCGACUAAGCGUACACGGUGGAUGCCCUGGCAGUCAGAGGCGAUGAAGGACGUGCUAAUCUGCGAAAAGCGUCGGUAAGGUGAUAUGAACCGUUAUAGCCGGCGAUGUCCGAAUGGGGAAACCCAGUGCAAUUCGUUGCACUAUCGUUAACUGAAUACAUAGGUUAACGAGGCGAACCGGGGGAACUGAAACAUCUAAGUACCCCGAGGAAAAGAAAUCAACCGAGAUUCCCCCAGUAGCGGCGAGCGAACGGGGAGCAGCCCAGAGUCUGAAUCAGCUUGUGUGUUAGUGGAACGGUCUGGAAAGUCCGACGGUACAGGGUGAUAGUCCCGUACACCAAAAUGCACAGGCUGUGAACUCGAAGAGUAGGGCGGGACACGUGGUAUCCUGUCUGAAUAUGGGGGGACCAUCCUCCCAAGGCUAAAUACUCCUGACUGACCGAUAGUGAACCAGUACCGUGAGGGAAAGGCGAAAAGAACCCCGGCGAGGGGAGUGAAAAAGAACCUGAAACCGUGUACGUACAAGCAGUGGGAGCACCUUCGGGUGUGACUGCGUACCUUUUGUAUAAUGGGUCAGCGACUUAUAUUCUGUAGCAAGGUUAACCGUAUAGGGGAGCCGCAGGGAAACCGAGUCUUAACUGGGCGUUAAGUUGCAGGGUAUAGACCCGAAACCCGGUGAUCUAGCCAUGGGCAGGUUGAAGGUUGGGUAACACUAACUGGAGGACCGAACCGACUAAUGUUGAAAAAUUAGCGGAUGACUUGUGGCUGGGGGUGAAAGGCCAAUCAAACCGGGAGAUAGCUGGUUCUCCCCGAAAGCUAUUUAGGUAGCGCCUCGUGAACUCAUCUUCGGGGGUAGAGCACUGUUUCGGCUAGGGGGUCAUCCCGACUUACCAACCCGAUGCAAACUACGAAUACCGAAGAAUGUUAUCACGGGAGACACACGGCGGGUGCUAACGUCCGUCGUGAAGAGGGAAACAACCCAGACCGCCAGCUAAGGUCCCAAAGUCAUGGUUAAGUGGGAAACGAUGUGGGAAGGCACAGACAGCCAGGAUGUUGGCUUAGAAGCAGCCAUCAUUUAAAGAAAGCGUAAUAGCUCACUGGUCGAGUCGGCCUGCGCGGAAGAUGUAACGGGGCUAAACCAUGCACCGAAGCUGCGGCAGCGACACUAUGUGUUGUUGGGUAGGGGAGCGUUCUGUAAGCCUGCGAAGGUGUGCUGUGAGGCAUGCUGGAGGUAUCAGAAGUGCGAAUGCUGACAUAAGUAACGAUAAAGCGGGUGAAAAGCCCGCUCGCCGGAAGACCAAGGGUUCCUGUCCAACGUUAAUCGGGGCAGGGUGAGUCGACCCCUAAGGCGAGGCCGAAAGGCGUAGUCGAUGGGAAACAGGUUAAUAUUCCUGUACUUGGUGUUACUGCGAAGGGGGGACGGAGAAGGCUAUGUUAGCCGGGCGACGGUUGUCCCGGUUUAAGCAUGUAGGCUGGUUGUCCAGGCAAAUCCGGAUAAUCAAGGCUGAGGUGUGAUGACGAGGCACUACGGUGCUGAAGUAACAAAUGCCCUGCUUCCAGGAAAAGCCUCUAAGCAUCAGGUAACAUUAAAUCGUACCCCAAACCGACACAGGUGGUCAGGUAGAGAAUACCAAGGCGCUUGAGAGAACUCGGGUGAAGGAACUAGGCAAAAUGGUGCCGUAACUUCGGGAGAAGGCACGCUGGUGUGUAGGUGAAGCCCCUGCGGGUGGAGCUGAGACCAGUCGAAGAUACCAGCUGGCUGCAACUGUUUAUUAAAAACACAGCACUGUGCAAACACGAAAGUGGACGUAUACGGUGUGACGCCUGCCCGGUGCCGGAAGGUUAAUUGAUGGGGUUAUCCGUAAGGAGAAGCUCUUGAUCGAAGCCCCGGUAAACGGCGGCCGUAACUAUAACGGUCCUAAGGUAGCGAAAUUCCUUGUCGGGUAAGUUCCGACCUGCACGAAUGGCGUAAUGAUGGCCAGGCUGUCUCCACCCGAGACUCAGUGAAAUUGAACUCGCUGUGAAGAUGCAGUGUACCCGCGGCAAGACGGAAAGACCCCGUGAACCUUUACUAUAGCUUGACACUGAACAUUGAGCCUUGAUGUGUAGGAUAGGUGGGAGGCUUUGAAGCGUGGACGCCAGUCUGCGUGGAGCCAACCUUGAAAUACCACCCUUUAAUGUUUGAUGUUCUAACGUUGGCCCCUGACCGGGGUUGCGGACAGUGUCUGGUGGGUAGUUUGACUGGGGCGGUCUCCUCCCAAAGCGUAACGGAGGAGCACGAAGGUUAGCUAAUCCUGGUCGGACAUCAGGAGGUUAGUGCAAUGGCAUAAGCUAGCUUGACUGCGAGCGUGACGGCGCGAGCAGGUGCGAAAGCAGGUCAUAGUGAUCCGGUGGUUCUGAAUGGAAGGGCCAUCGCUCAACGGAUAAAAGGUACUCCGGGGAUAACAGGCUGAUACCGCCCAAGAGUUCAUAUCGACGGCGGUGUUUGGCACCUCGAUGUCGGCUCAUCACAUCCUGGGGCUGAAGUAGGUCCCAAGGGUAUGGCUGUUCGCCAUUUAAAGUGGUACGCGAGCUGGGUUUAGAACGUCGUGAGACAGUUCGGUCCCUAUCUGCCGUGGGCGCUGGAGAAUUGAGGGGGGCUGCUCCUAGUACGAGAGGACCGGAGUGGACGCAUCACUGGUGUUCGGGUUGUCAUGCCAAUGGCACUGCCCGGUAGCUAAAUGCGGAAGAGAUAAGUGCUGAAAGCAUCUAAGCACGAAACUUGCCCCGAGAUGAGUUCUCCCUGAGACUUUAAGUCUCCUGAAGGAACGUUGAAGACGACGACGUUGAUAGGCCGGGUGUGUAAGCGCAGCGAUGCGUUGAGCUAACCGGUACUAAUGAACCGUGAGGCUUAACCUU
rnacentral:rRNA from 1 species